rnacentral:rRNA from 1 species
AGUGAACGCUGGCGGUAGGCCUAACACAUGCCAGUCGAACGGCAGCACAGUAAGAGCUUGCUCUUACGGGUGGCGAGUGGCGGACGGGUGAGGAAUACAUCGGAAUCUACUUUUUCGUGGGGGAUAACGUAGGGAAACUUACGCUAAUACCGCAUACGACCUACGGGUGAAAGCAGGGGAUCUUCGGACCUUGCGCGAUUGAAUGAGCCGAUGUCGGAUUAGCUAGUUGGCGGGGUAAAGGCCCACCAAGGCGACGAUCCGUAGCUGGUCGGAGAGGAUGAUCAGCCACACUGGAACUGAGACACGGUCCAGACUCCUAAGGGAGGCAGCAGUGGGGAAUAUUGGACAAUGGGCGCAAGCCUGAUCCAGCCAUACCGCGUGGGUGAAGAAGGCCUUCGGGUUGUAAAGCCCUUUUGUUGGGAAAGAAAAGCAGCAGGUUAAUACCCCGCUGUUCUGACGGUACCCAAAGAAUAAGCACCGGCUAACUUCGUG